AAACCAGCACCUCAAGUGGUCAGGAUGAUUAUUGGGCCUAAAGCAUCCGUAGCCGGCUCUGUAAGUUUUCGGUUAAAUCUGUACGCUCAACGUACAGGCUGCUGGGAAUACUGCAGAGCUAGGGAGGGGGAGAGGUAGACGGUACUCGGGAGGAAGUGGUAAAAUGCUUUGAUCUCUCGAUGACCACCUGUGGCGAAGGCGGUCUACCAGAACACGUCCGACGGUGAGGGAUGAAAGCUGGGGGAGCAAACCGGAUUAGAAACCCCAGUAGUCC
rnacentral:rRNA from 1 species